GUGGGGAAUCUUCCGCAAUGGACGAAAGUCUGACGGAGCAACGCCGCGUGAGUGAUGAAGGUCUUCGGAUUGUAAAGCUCUGUUAAUCGGGACGAAAGAGCCUAGUGUGAAUAAUGCUAGGAAGUGACGGUACCGGAAUAGAAAGCCACGGCUAACUACGUGCCAGCAGCCGCGGUAAUACGUAGGUGGCAAGCGUUGUCCGGAAUUAUUGGGCGUAAAGCGCGCGCAGGCGGAUCUGCCAGUCUGUCUUAAAAGUUCGUGGCUUAACCCCGUGAUGGGAUGGAAACUACAGAUCUAGAGUAUCGGAGAGGAAAGUGGAAUUCCUAGUGUAGCGGUGAAAUGCGUAGAUAUUAGGAAGAACACCAGUGGCGAAGGCGACUUUCUGGACGAAAACUGACGCUGAGGCGCGAAAGCCAGGGGAGCGAACGGGAUUAGAAACCCGUGUAGUCC
rnacentral:rRNA from 1 species